rnacentral:lncRNA from 1 species
CACAUAUAUAGUGAAUAAUACAACAGUUACCAAUGUGAUAUUUAUUUCUGGAUGCUGAAAGUUUGUUUUGCUUCAGUAAUUUAUGAAAAUGAAUCACGCUUUCUCCGUCAGCUUUGGGAAUAUCUACAGCAUACAUCAGCCCAGAAAGGUCACACUGAGAAUCUUUGAUUGCUUUAUAGCAACUUCCUCCCACAGUAUUAAAAGAAAAAGCUUCUGCUCAGUAUAUUCUGCCCAAUUAUAUAGAUGAACAUAAAAAGAUGGAUAUAAGAAUGCCUCUCGUGUAUGUGUGUGAGUGAGUAUGUUUUUGUUUUCACUGUGAUCUCCUAGAUCCUGCUUAGGGACUUUCUGUUCUUAUUUGACCAGUUUAUUGUUUAUUUUAUACUUCUUUCCUUUCUAGCCUACAUAAUUGUCUUGCAAAGACCAAGAAGCCCACAGAGUUGUUCUGGUGCUGCUUGUGAGGACAGAGCAGUUGAGCAGCAGACUUUAAUACGGCUGAACUUGGCUGGAAUGAACAUUAUUUUAUGCUUUAGAACCUGGGGCAACCAGAAGUCAAGAACACGAGCUCUGUCGUGGAAUGCAACUGCCUGCAUGUGCCCUGGGGAUCCCACCCCCAGCAAACCAACAGGUCCUUUUAAUGCUUCGAGACCUUCUCACCUGCCUCAGCACCUCCAAUGUCUCAGAUGCGGCAACUAUGUGAAAAGUGAAAAUUUUUAAAGUGAAGCUAUAUACAGUCCAUCCUUCAGAGACAGAGAACUGCUGGCAGAAGAAAGCUUUGGUGCUCUGUUCCCCACCAAAUCCAG